rnacentral:rRNA from 1 species
AGUGAACACUGGCGGUAGGCCUAACACAUGCAAGUCGAACGGCAGCACAGUAAGAGCUUGCUCUUACGGGUGGCGAGUGGCGGACGGGUGAGGAAUACAUCGGAAUCUACUUUUUCGUGGGGGAUAACGUAGGGAAACUUACGCUAAUACCGCAUACGACCUACGGGUGAAAGCAGGGGAUCUUCGGACCUUGCGCGAUUGAAUGAGCCGAUGUCGGAUUAGCUAGUUGGCGGGGUAAAGGCCCACCAAGGCGACGGUCCGUAGCUGGUCUGAGAGGAUGAUCAGCCACACUGGAACUGAGACACGGUCCAGACUCCUACGGGAGGCAGCAGUGGGGAAUAUUGGACAAUGGGCGCAAGCCUGAUCCAGCCAUACCGCGUGGGUGAAGAAGGCCUUCGGGUUGUAAAGCCCUUUUGUUGGGAAAGAAAAGCAGCAGGUUAAUACCCCGCUGUUCUGACGGUACCCAAAGAAUAAGCACCGGCUAACUUCGUG